CGUGUCGCUUAGGCGUGCCUCGUACAUGCAAGUCGAGGGGAAGAUGGGAGCUUGCUCCCUGAUGUUAGCGGCGGACGGGUGAGUAACACGUGGGUAACCUGCCUGUAAGACUGGGAUAACUCCGGGAAACCGGGGCUAAUACCGGAUGGUUGUUUGAACCGCAUGGUUCAGACAUAAAAGGUGGCUUCGGCUACCACUUACAGAUGGACCCGCGGCGCAUUAGCUAGUUGGUGAGGUAACGGCUCACCAAGGCAACGAUGCGUAGCCGACCUGAGAGGGUGAUCGGCCACACUGGGACUGAGACACGGCCCAGACUCCUACGGGAGGCAGCAGUAGGGAAUCUUCCGCAAUGGACGAAAGUCUGACGGAGCAACGCCGCGUGAGUGAUGAAGGUUUUCGGAUCGUAAAGCUCUGUUGUUAGGGAAGAACAAGUGCCGUUCAAAUAGGGCGGCACCUUGACGGUACCUAACCAGAAAGCCACGGCUAACUACGUGCCAGCAGCCGCGGUAAUACGUAGGUGGCAAGCGUUGUCCGGAAUUAUUGGGCGUAAAGGGCUCGCAGGCGGUUUCUUAAGUCUGAUGUGAAAGCCCCCGGCUCAACCGGGGAGGGUCAUUGGAAACUGGGGAACUUGAGUGCAGAAGAGGAGAGUGGAAUUCCACGUGUAGCGGUGAAAUGCGUAGAGAUGUGGAGGAACACCAGUGGCGAAGGCGACUCUCUGGUCUGUAACUGACGCUGAGGAGCGAAAGCGUGGGGAGCGAACAGAUUAGAUACCCUGUAGUCCACGCCGUAAACGAUGAGUGCUAAGUGUUAGGGGGUUUCCGCCCCUUAUUGCUGCAGCUAACCGCAUUU
rnacentral:rRNA from 1 species